rnacentral:rRNA from 1 species
UACGGAGGGUGCAAGCGUUAUCCGGAUUCACUGGGUUUAAAGGGUGCGUAGGAGGGCAGGUAAGUCAGUGGUGAAAUCUCCAAGCUUAACUUGGAACUGCCGUUGAUACUAUCUGUCUUGAAUACCGUGGAGGUGAGCGGAAUAUGUCAUGUAGCGGUGAAAAUGCUUAGAUAUGACAUAGAACACCAAUUGCGAAGGCAGCUCGCUACACGAAUAUUGACUCUGAGGCACGAAAGCGUGGGGAUCAAACAGG